AUUGAACGCUAGCGGGAUGCUUUACACAUGCAAGUCGAACGGCAGCGCGGACUUCGGUCUGGCGGCGAGUGGCGAACGGGUGAGUAAUGUAUCGGAACGUGCCCAGUAGCGGGGGAUAACUACGCGAAAGCGUAGCUAAUACCGCAUACGCCCUACGGGGGAAAGCAGGGGAUCGUAAGAUCUUGCACUAUUGGAGCGGCCGAUAUCGGAUUAGCUAGUUGGUGAGGUAACGGCUCACCAAGGCGACGAUCCGUAGCUGGUUUGAGAGGACGACCAGCCACACUGGGACUGAGACACGGCCCAGACUCCUACGGGAGGCAGCAGUGGGGAAUUUUGGACAAUGGGGGCAACCCUGAUCCAGCCAUCCCGCGUGUGCGAUGAAGGCCUUCGGGUUGUAAAGCACUUUUGGCAGGAAAGAAACGUCGCGGGCUAAUACCCCGUGGAACUGACGGUACCUGCAGAAUAAGCACCGGCUAACUACGUG
rnacentral:rRNA from 1 species